UACAGAGGGUGCGAGCGUUAAUCGGAAUUACUGGGCGUAAAGCGUGCGUAGACGGUUAUUUAAGUCGGGUGUGAAAGCCCCGGGCUCAACCUGGGAAUUGCAUUCGAGACUGAAUAGCUAGGGUACGGUAGAGGGAAGCGGUAUUUCCGGUGUAGCGGUGAAAUGCGUAGAUAUCGGGAGGAACACCAGUGGCGAAGGCGACUUCCUGGCCUGUUCUUGACGCUGAGGCGCGAAAGCUAGGGGAGCAAACGGG
rnacentral:rRNA from 1 species